rnacentral:lncRNA from 1 species
GACCCACCAACAUGCUCUCAGCCAGACAGUGGUGACGAAGCAGAGGAAACACAGUGGUCCGAUGAUGAGAGCACAGCCACACUUACGGUAAGAGCACAGCCGCACAACAUGGGGCAGCCUCACACUGUCACGUGAGAGGACUACGUGCCUACCUCUGGCUUGACAGGUUUGCCUGGGUAGCUUGCUGUCUGUGUGGUCACUUGCCUUUGUAAGAAAUAACUUGUCACUGUUUGACAGCAAGCACUGUUUGCCUGCUUUCCCCUCUACUCACAAA